rnacentral:tRNA from 1 species
GUCUCUGUGGUGCGAUCGGUUAGCGCAUUUGGCUAUUAAUCAAAAGGUUCAUGGUUCGAACCCACCCAGGGACG